UGGCAGCUUACUGCAGCAGUAAUGCACGACGAGUUUUUUCUUUGCUGGCAGGUGUGUAAGGCUAGGUGAGAACCCUAUAACGGACAGUGCAAGAAAACAAAUCUGUGAAACAAGGACAGUCAGUGAAAGAGAAUACAAGUUAAAGCGCGGCGAUCCAGUAACAGAAGUGGAGUUCGAUCGAUCUUGUGUUGGGUGCGAGUUAAGAAGAAUUCACAGACAGGCAGACGAGGUUCCUCAACAUGAUCCUAGAUUCGAUCUUCUCGUUAAUGACGAGUGGAGUAAAAGGCACAUGGUGGUACAGAAGUUUGUUCAAGCAGGACGGAAGGUGAUAGUGAGGAUAAGAGCCAACAAACACUUGAGUUCCCUGGGAGAGUUCGUGACUGACUGGAGAAAAGGAAAAUUCACCAG